UACAGAGGUCUCAAGCGUUGUUCGGAUUCAUUGGGCGUAAAGGGUGCGUAGGCGGCGCGGUAAGUCGGGUGUGAAAUCUCGGGAGCUUAACUCCGGAACUGCGUUCGAUACUGCCGUGCUUGAGGACUGGAGAGGAGACUGGAAUUUACGGUGUAGCGGUGAAAUGCGUAGAUAUCGUAAGGAAGACCAGUGGCGAAGGCGGGUCUCUGGACAGUUCCUGACGCUGAGGCACGAAGGUCAGGGGAGCAAACGGG
rnacentral:rRNA from 1 species